rnacentral:rRNA from 1 species
UACGUAGGGCGCGAGCGUUGUCCGGAAUUAUUGGGCGUAAAGAGCUCGUAGGCGGCCUGUUGCGUCCGCUGUGAAAUCCCGGGGCUCAACCCCGGGCUUGCAGUGGAUACGGGCUGGCUAGAGGCAGGCAGGGGAGAACGGAAUUCCCGGUGUAGCGGUGAAAUGCGCAGAUAUCGGGAGGAACACCAAUGGCGAAGGCAGCUCGCUGGGACGUGACUGACGCUGAGACGCGAAAGCGUGGGGAGCAAACAGG